GACACGUCCCUUUGUGCGUGCCUGGGGCUGCGCACAGCCUAGAGCGUAGCGUCCCAGCACUAUGAGCGGCUCGGGCGCAGCCGGGGCGGCCACGGGCCCUGCCCCGCCGGCGCAGGAGGAGGGCAUGACAUGGUGGUACCGCUGGCUGUGCCGCCUGGCGGGCGUGCUGGGGGCCGUGUCCUGUGCCAUCUCUGGACUCUUCAACUGUGUCACCAUCCACCCUCUGAAUAUUGCAGCUGGCGUGUGGAUGAUCAUGAAUGCCUUCGUCCUGCUGUUGUGCGAGGCACCCUUCUGCUGCCAGUUCGUGGAGUUUGCAAACACAGUAGCUGAGAAGGUGGACCGGCUGCGCUCCUGGCAGAAGGCUGUGUUCUACUGCGGGUGAGGGGCUGUUGGGCAGGGCCUAUGGCAUGGCUCCCCAAACUCUUACUGACUAAAGCAGGUAUUGGAGAGGUGGGCGGGGCAGGAACAGGUAGAGGCCUUUCUUUCCUGCAGGAGUUUCAUUGGAUAGCUGUGGACACAGCCACUGGCCCACCCAGUAACAGCUGCUAAAGAGCGGGACCCAGUGUUUGCCUGCCGGAGCUCAGCUGGCAGCUAUGGCCACACAAGUGUUCUAAGAUCUGUGGUGCUUGCAGCAGUGUGUGUGUGUGUGUAUGUGUGUGCGUGUGUGUGUGUGUGCGCGAGUGUGGGGAGAGGGGGCAGGGAAGCAGCUGGGAGUUGCCAGGUAGGUCAUAGUAGAUCUGUGUGGGCAUUAUGCAGCCUUGAAAGGAGUGUGACCAACCUAGAAGUUCAGACAUGAGAUUGAAGAACAGAAAACACCAUUUUCCUCUAAAUACGUUUUCUCCUUUUGGUUCUGACAAGUGUCAUAAGACUGCACCACUUCCGAGAUAAAUUGAAUACACAGAAGCUUAAGAGAAGGGCUUUUUUUUUUUUUUUUUUGCAUGAGAGGCCCAGCUAGGCAGUGAUAUUUAUCACAAUUUAUCUUUACGAUCAGGUUAGACCAAAGCUUGGUGAAGGCUCAGCGGCUUCGGCAGUGAGAAUAUACAAUGAGUGUGUGCUUGCUGGCGGUUUUCUGUUAUGUCUAAAUCUAAAGGGAUUGUAGGAUCACAAAGUUCUAAUCAGGCUAGCAUGAUGUUCUUUGGUUUGUGUGUGUAUGCACUCACGCACACACACACACGCACACACACACGCAUGCAUACCUAUAUGUAGGUGCACAUGUGUGCGGAUUUUUCUCAGUCACUUUUCUCUUGUUUUUAAGGAUAGGGUUACUCACUGAACCUGGAGCUCACAAAUUUGGCUCGACUGCCUGUCUCUACCUCACCAGCCCUGAAUACUUGGGUUUUUAUGGGGAUCCAAGCAGGGCCUCAUGCACAUGCAGCAGGCACUUUACCAACUAAGCUGUCUCCUCACCCCUUCGGUUUUUUCCCCACCCUUUGUAUUUGAGACCUGGCUGACCUUGAACUCACAGAGAUUCAUCUGUCUCUGCCUCCUGAGUGCUGGAAUUAAAGGCGUGAGUCAGCGUACCUGGCUUUCUUUGAGUUUUUAAGAUGUGUUGUCAUGAUAUUCACAGUAGUAUGUUUAGCAAAAGUCAUUUGUAAAGUAGAAAAUGGUCACUCCAGACCUCACUACCUAUUGUGUUUCCCCAGUCAAUCCAGACACUUUUGAAGCUCAUCUUUAACAUGGUUAUGACUGCUAAACAUGCUUAUAAAGGUUGAACCUGCUUUUUUGACUUGCUGUAGUAUUCAUAUUCAGUGUCAUCACAAAGACUAUGACCUUCCUUUUAAUGUUAAACACAUUUAUUCAGCUGGACAUAGUGCCUUUGUUUUAGUUUGUUAGCUGAUGUCAGUCAAGUCUGGUGAACAUCUGUCUGCCAAAACUACCAUGAUGACAUCCUUAGGAGAUGUUUCCAGGUGUGAAAUUACCAGGCCAAAGGCUAUGGUCAUUCAAAAGAUCUUAACAUAUGUGACUCAGUUUCUUUCCCAAGAGGCUAUCUGGGUGUCCCCCCUCCCCCACAGUGCUACUUUAAUGUUUAUAUUUAUUGUCUAGGAAGUAAAAUACCCUCCUGUAUAUUCUCAUUCAUUUUCUUUCUCAAAAGGUUUCUGGUCUCUGGUCCUGUUCUUUUGAGAGCUUUAAUGUUUGACUUUGCAGGCUGUGUGUUUUCAGUAUUAAAGACCUCAGAUUCCUAUGCUAUGUUUCCCAUUCUGGUUUUUCCAGCCUGUUUGCCUUUAGUGUUAAUGGUUUUCCUCGUGUGAUCUUUUUUCUCGAAAAAGUGGAGUCAAACCUGAGAUAAACUAUUAUUUUAUUAUAGAAAACCCUGAACUUAAGACGGGUUUCCGUUUUGAUAAAACAGAUAUCCUCUUGAAAACAUGGUAGCACACCUCACCUAGCAAACGCAGCUGUUACCAAGCUUCACCAUGCUUCAAGCCCUGACACUGGGCAUUGUGACUUGGUAUGGUGCCUCAUAAGGUGGCUUGGGACUCAGAACUCUAACCAAUGUCUGCUGAGUACCGCAAGCACAACCAUGGAUGGACCGUAGUCAACUAUAGUCAAGGACCCUCCACACUUUGAAGCACUUCUGCUAUAAUGAAAUCUACACCGGAAGUUCAAGGAGUGAAGUUGGCUUUGAGUGUGUGUCAUCUUCCUGCUCCGGGUGCCUCCUCUCCAGAAGUGGCUGGACUGAGGACUGGGCUGCAGGCUCCAGAACCUUCCUGAGUCAGCCUGUCUGGGACUCACCUCCUGUUGGAAAAUCCCAUCCCUCAAGCCUGAUCUGCAGAGUCUUAGGUGGAAUGGACCCACCACCAGGAUGGCCAUCGUUCCCAUCGUCAUGAGCCUGACCCUGACCACGCUGCUGGGCAACGCCAUCGCCUUUGCCACCGGGGUGCUGUACGGACUAUCU